GGCCCAGGGCCUUCCCCUGUUUAACCUGCCUAUUUGCGCUUCUAGUUAUUUCAGUAUCUGGAAAUCAUUCAAUAUUAAUGAAGACACUGGGUGCAAUAGGCUAGAUGUGUAGGCUAAGUGUUAACAUGAACCUGCGUGCUGCUCCAUUCUUCUUCUUAUAGGUCUUUGUUGAGCUAGUGUCUGCACUCUGUAGCAUCACCACAGGCGCGCUGCGCGCAUAGUCUAUAUUUCCGAUCCAUGCUCAAGAGAGAAUUUUGGAGAGGGUCUGCAGUUGGAGUUGAGCCCAUUACCAUGAAUACAAUAUCUCAGCUUCUCCCAAGACAAAAUAGUCACAUUUUUGGCCGAGAUGAAUUGAACAUAAUCUGAACUGCUAUGACAUUGGUUAUUGUAAGGAUACAGCUGCUACAGUGUUUUAGAAAGCCUACCUGACAACGCAAUAAAAAAAAUACACUAUAAUGUUACUCUCAAUUGGAAAAUGUUAGUGAUGCUGUUACAGCGUUAUUCUGUAGGUCCAUUAUGGAAUACACUGUCAACUGGAAGCACACUCAACAAAUUAGUAAAAUAUUUGUAACAACAUUGUGUAUAACACUAGUUUGUCUAGUUUCAUGUAUUUUUCAAUAUACUGUUUUAUGGACCAUGGUUGUAAUAGUGUUAUAUGCUAAUUGUAAAUCAGUUUGUGUUCAUUUUAAUAAAGCAACAUUUUUAAGUGCAAAACUUUGUGUCACAUCUGGCCAUUACAGGAGACUAGGGGCUUCUUUAUCAUCACUUUCACACACACACACACACACACACACACACACGGUUUCCUGUCACCAUCAUUAUUUCCAUUUGGAAAUGACUUAAGGAGCCCAUAAUAACAGGAAAAGAUCUAGCUUAGCCCUUUUUGGCAUCAGAAUCCUGGAAUGUCCAGUCUUUUUAAAGUAAAGGGAGGAUACCUUGCACAUCGAGUGGCCAAGCUCUGCAGCAAAACUUUACAUUCAAGCUCAAUAUUCUAACUGGAUAUGAAAAAGAUGCAACUUCUUCAACUGUGUGCCUUCUUCCAUGUCACAGUCUGUAGUCAGAUAGAAGAAGUCGCCAUAUCACCUCGUGGAAAUGAGGUAUUUGUGCUAGCAGGUUCAGCCUUCCAGUUCACCUGUGCUUGCGUUGGUAGUUGUAAGACACCACAGUUCAGCUGGACAAGAGCUACUACUGACUCUGAUCGUGUGCGAACCAAAAACAGCACCCUCAAAUUUUGAAGGAAGUAACACAAUUAAAAAAUAUACUUUUCAAGA